rnacentral:rRNA from 1 species
AGAUUAAGUUAUUAAGGGCGCACGGUGGAUGCCUUGGCACUAGAAGCCGAUGAAGGACGUUACUAACGACGAUAUGCUUUGGGGAGCUGUAAGUAAGCUUUGAUCCAGAGAUUUCCGAAUGGGGAAACCCAGCAUGAGUUAUGUCAUGUUAUCGAUAUGUGAAUACAUAGCAUAUCAGAAGGCACACCCGGAGAACUGAAACAUCUUAGUACCCGGAGGAAGAGAAAGAAAAUUCGAUUCCCUUAGUAGCGGCGAGCGAAACGGGAAGAGCCCAAACCAACAAGCUUGCUUGUUGGGGUUGUAGGACACUCUAUACGGAGUUACAAAGGACGACAUUAGACGAAUCAUCUGGAAAGAUGAAUCAAAGAAGGUAAUAAUCCUGUAGUCGAAAAUGUUGUCUCUCUUGAGUGGAUCCUGAGUACGGCGGGACACGUGAAAUUCCGUCGGAAUCUGGGAGGACCAUCUCCUAAGGCUAAAUACUCUCUAGUGACCGAUAGUGAACCAGUACCGUGAGGGAAAGGUGAAAAGCACCCCGGAAGGGGAGUGAAAUAGAACCUGAAACCGUGUGCUUACAAGUAGUCAGAGCCCGUUAAUGGGUGAUGGCGUGCCUUUUGUAGAAUGAACCGGCGAGUUACGAUUUGAUGCAAGGUUAAGCAGUAAAUGUGGAGCCGUAGCGAAAGCGAGUCUGAAUAGGGCGUUUAGUAUUUGGUCGUAGACCCGAAACCAGGUGAUCUACCCUUGGUCAGGUUGAAGUUCAGGUAACACUGAAUGGAGGACCGAACCGACUUACGUUGAAAAGUGAGCGGAUGAACUGAGGGUAGCGGAGAAAUUCCAAUCGAACCUGGA